UCAGGGGGGUCGACAGCUGCAGAGGAAGCGUGGAUGGGGGAGAACACAGCAAAUGUGUUGGAGGAGGGGUGGCCUUCAGAAAACCCUGUCUUCCACUGAAUACUGGAGGUCAUUACUCCUAUGGAACAUAAGAGCUCCUGUUUCCUAUACAUCACCAGUCAUCUCAUCUGUUGAGAAGGACGAACACCAUUUUUCUCAUAAAACACAGAGCUCUGUCUCUCUCCAUUUCUCUCUCUCCCUCUCUCUCUCGCUCUGUCUUUCCUUUAAAUUAUAACUAGUUUGUGCAGCUGACUGCAGAAUUGAUGCAGCUGAGAGAAAGGAGGCGAAGACGAGAAAUAAAAAGAGAGCAAUGGAAAAGAAAGAGUCACUCGUGGAUGAGAAAAGAACAACAAGGGAGAACGAUAGUGAGACAGGGUAGAGGGAAGGCAGUGGAUGGGAAACAAAACAGAAUUAAAAAGAGUGAUAGGUAGGCAAAGGAAGAGAAGAAGUUAGAACAGAAGAAGAGAGAGAGAAAUCGGCAGAAGAUUAACCAAUAAGAGAGCCACCUUCGAGUGAGAGAGAACUGAUCAAAACCGUGGAAGCCUGGCUCUUGGAAACAAAGGACCACAAACGUAAAACACGGAUGAAUGUAUGGAACGAAAAGGGGUGUAUGGCAAAAGCGAGAGCCAGGGAAUGAACGAGGAAGAGGGGAACAAAUGAAAAAGAGUAGGAAUCAGCAGAAGAGGCUUUUGCGGUCCCAAAGCAGAGGGGGAGGAGGAGGGCAAGAGAGAGGCAGGUUGGGGAUGGGAAGGCAAGAUCAAUAACUAAUUUCAGUGCCGAGCCUCAGUCGGACUGUUUUCCAAUAAGCCCUGGACAUAACGAGUUAGCUUGAAUAGCUGUGCUGCAGCUAUUGCUGCUCUCUCUCUCUCUCUUCAUCCAUCCCCCUCGCUCUACCCGCCUCAUGUCUCUCAGGGCCCUGGUGCUAGCGAUGGCUGGAUCGAUCCUCUGCACGCACACAAACACGCACAUACUCAGGCAUACAGGCCCGAGUUUUGCAACAGGAUGCCAAGACA